GGAACUUGAGAUACAGUCGCAAUAUUGGUGUAGUUAUAAAGACAUAGGAUUAUUUGAUAUGUGGAUUAAAUUAUUCGGAGAUCGUAAUUUCCUGACUAAUUUAUCCCAAUAUCAAGAUGGGAUAAAAUAAUCCCAAGGUGAAUAAGAUAAGGUAGAAUGUCCUAAGAUUAAGCCUAAAAUAAAAUCAAUACUACAUUCGGCAGACAAUAUAAAUUUAUCUUAGGACGUGUUAGGAGGGAUUGCCCCAGACUUAGGGCGGGGGCAGCAUCAGAGUUUUCAGCUACCCAUUAGGGCAGCUGUACAGUUAACUAUGAGUGAUGGUGGUUCACAGGUAGAUAGAGGUGUGCCACAGACUGUCAAGGUGGUGGUAGAGGAGUUAUCCGGGGCAGAGGAUGAUUGUUCACAUUGUCAUUCAUUCACAAGUAUAUCAGAGGAAAUUAGAUUUUGGAAGCUAAGUUCGUGAAAAAAAGGAAAAAGGUGUUUUUGGCUACUUAUGUGAUCAAUAUUGGGUGUUCGUGACACUUCUCGACUGGUUCAUGACCAAAACAUGUGCAGGAGUUGAAGAAGAGUUGAAAAAUAACUUCUGGCACUUGCUAAGUCAACAUGCACAUCGCAUGUGGGCAAAGCAUGUGUCAGAGGUCCAAAAUCUCGAGAGCUAACCUAUAGGAAAUUAUGGUCUAGGCACAUGUGGUCACCACAUGCACCCAUCCUCACGUCGCAUGUACCAUAUGCGCCCAAGGACAGGCCGCAUGGGGAGACCACAUGUAGCCACUGAUCCUUUUUUCUCCUAUUUCGUUUGGGAUUUGGUUUUAAGAUUUUCUCAUGUACUAUAAAUACCCCUUAUGUGUUUUUUAGUAGAAGUGUCAUACUUUUGAUACUUACAUACAUAUUUUGAUUUCGAGAAUCGAUUUUAUUCUUGGAAUUUUCUUGUAUUGAUUUCCGUUGAUUAAUUCAGUUACUGUUUUGGGUUUUUACUU